rnacentral:rRNA from 1 species
CUACGGGUCGCACCAGUGGGGAAUAUUGCACAAUGGACGAAAGUCUGAUGCAGCAACGCCGCGUGGAGGAUGACACAUUUCGGUGCGUAAACUCCUUUUAUAUAGGAAGAUAAUGACGGUACUAUAUGAAUAAGCGCCGGCUAACUCCGUGCCAGCAGCCGCGGUAAUACGGAGGGCGCAAGCGUUACUCGGAAUCACUGGGCGUAAAGAGCGUGUAGGCGGAUAGAUAAGUCAGGAGUGAAAUCCUAUGGCUCAACCAUAGAACUGCUCUUGAAACUGUCUAUCUAGAAUAUGGGAGGGGUAGAUGGAAUUUCUGGUGUAGGGGUAAAAUCCGUAGAGAUCAGAAGGAAUACCGAUUGCGAAGGCGAUCUACUGGAACAUUAUUGACGCUGAGACGCGAAAGCGUGGGGAGCAAACAGGAUUAGAUACCCCUGUAGUC